CACGUAGGCGGCCUGGUAAGUCAGAUGUGAAAGCCCGGGGCUUAACCCCGGAAGUGCAUUUGAUACUGUCAGGCUUGAGUAUGGGAGAGGGAAGUGGAAUUCCUGGUGUAGAGGUGAAAUUCGUAGAUAUCAGGAGGAACACCGGUGGCGAAGGCGACUUCCUGGACCAAUACUGACGCUGAGGUGCGAAGGCGUGGGGAGCGAACAGGAUUAGAUACCCUGGUAGUCC
rnacentral:rRNA from 1 species